rnacentral:RNase_P_RNA from 1 species
GAAGCUGGCUAGACAGUCGCUGCGUGCCUCGUUGCACGGAGAGGAAAGUCCGGGCUCCACAGAGCAAGAUGCCGGUUAACGACCGGACGCCGUGAGGCGAUGGAAAGUGCCACAGAAAAUAAACCGCCGAUUGACUGACUUCGCCGACCGCAAGGGAGGCAAAGUCACCCAAGAAGAGCAAGGGCGAAAGCCAUUGCGAUGAGAGGGGAAGUCAAACGGUAAGGGUGAAACGGCGAGGUAAGAGCUCACCGCGCGGGUGGCAACAUCCGUGGCAGGGUAAACCCCAUCUGGAGCAAGACCAAAUAGGCAAGCUUUGGCGCGGCUCGCGUCGCUUGCGGGUAGGUUGCUUGAGCGUCAGGUAACGAAACGCCUAGAGGAAUGACUGUCCACGACAGAACCCGGCUUAUCGGCCAGCUUCACCU